GCUUUUUGCUAACGGGAACUUUUAAAUCCUCAAGAACCCUAAAUGCAGAUAAAAGAAAUUGGAUUCCAGGGGUUGAGACAGCUGGGGAUUGUCUGGGAGAAAGACAGCUCAUGUCUCUAGAAGAGAGAUUGUGAGGUUCAGGAAUAAGAUAUGGGUUUUUUUUUCCAUGAAAAAUGAAGCCUCAUGGCAGACAGGAAGAGAAGGUAAAAGAAAAUGGUAAAUAAACAAGAACCAUUUAGGAAGCUCUGUUUCAGUGGAUAAGCAAGUCACACCUUGGAUCUUUACUGUCUUCCCCAGGGCCUGAGUCACAUCUUUUGAGUUCCCUCCUAGUCCUCCCUGAGCUGUCCUCGCACGCUUGCCAGGAGGUUCUAGAGAGGAACAGAGCAUGCUCACUCCUGUCUCCAGCAAGAAGCCCCUGCCUCACUGCUCCGCACAGGGGACCGCAUCUUGGAGGCAUGCUUCUCCCACUGACCCUAAAGUAGUGAGAUGUUCUCUGGCCAGAGGUGUGAACUCAAGAAAGCCAGGAAGAUGUCAAUACGUGCCUCAGUAUAUAACCCCGCCUCAGUCCAUCAAGAAAGUGAAGACAACCAAGAAAGCUUUCCUCCUUACAAGUUUUUCAAAGUUUAAAAUGACCCCAAGUCUGAGCAGAUCCUAAUGGAGCCCCACCAGUGGGAACCACUGGAUGUCUGGAGGACAGUGGCUAUGAGAUGUGAUUGACAGCCUGAGUGCCCUGUCUUGCCAAGGAAACCGAAGCAUAGAGAGAUGAGGUUCAUCUACUGAGUCCUAGAACAGAAAAACCAAGCUCCAUUUAUCCUCAAUGGAAUGAAGCAUGUUCAAUUUAUGUACAUCUGAAGCUUCACUCAAAGGGCCUUUUGUGAGACAGAUGAUGAUUAAAUGUCACUUCAAACAACAGUUCCCGACAUUGGCAAAUUUAGGUGUGGAUGUGGCAGGUGCGUACAUCAAUAAAAUAGCACAUUCUCGGUAAGACAAAAAAACAAAACAAAACACCUUACUUACCUUAAUUAGUGGUGGGAAGUGAAACAAGUUUAGGUAAUCAUGGGUUAAUUUCUCAAUGGCUGACUGUAAAGAAAAAAAAAAGCCAACACGUGAUUUUAUUAAUGAUCCGAUAGUGCCAUGAGAGGUUAAAAUUAUUGUGCACAUAUAAAGGCAUUCUUUAUUUAUGUAGCCCAUAAAAUAUCUUGGGGAUGUUACUAUCCAGCAUCU